AACCUUCCCAAAACAGGUGAAUAGCCCUCCGAAAGGAGGAUUAAUACACCGUACCAUAUGGAUGCGGCAUCGCAACCAUAUUAUAGGCCGCAAGGUCGGUUUUGGAUGGGCGUGCGCCUGAUUAGGUAGUUGGCGGGGUAACGGCCCACCAAGCCUCCGAUCAGUAACUGGUGUGAGAGCACGACCAGUCACACGGGCACUGAGACACGGGCCCGACUCCUACGGGAGGCAGCAGUAAGGAAUAUUGGUCAAUGGACGCAAGUCUGAACCAGCCAUGCCGCGUGCAG
rnacentral:rRNA from 1 species